rnacentral:rRNA from 1 species
GACGAACGCUGGCGGCGUGCUUAACACAUGCAAGUCGAACGGUAAGGCCCUUCGGGGUACACGAGUGGCGAACGGGUGAGUAACACGAGGGUGAUCUGCCCUGCACUUCGGGAUAAGCCUGGGAAACUGGGUCUAAUACCGGAUAGGACUCCUGGCUUCAUGGUUGGGGGUGGAAAGAUUUUGCGGUGUGGGAUGGGCCCGCGGCCUAUCAGCUUGUUGGGUGGGUACUGGCCUACCAAGGCGACGACGGGUAGCCGGCCUGAGAGGGUGACCGGUCACACUGGGACUGAGAUACGGCCCAGACUCCUACGGGAGGCAGCAGUGGGGAAUAUUGCACAAUUGGCGCAAGCCUGAUGCAGCGACGCCGCGUGAGGGAUGACGGCCUUCGGGUUGUAAACCUCUUUCAGCUAUGACGAAGCGCAAGUGACGGUAGUAGCAGAAGAAGGACCGGCCAACUACGUGCCAGCCGCCGCAGUAA